rnacentral:rRNA from 1 species
UGGGGAAUAUUGCACAAUGGGCGCAAGCCUGAUGCAGCAACGCCGCGUGAAGGAAGACGGUCUUCGGAUUGUAAACUUCUGUUCUUAGUGAAGAAAAAUGACGGUAGCUAAGGAGCAAGCCACGGCUAACUACGUGCCAGCAGCCGCGGUAAUACGUAGGUGGCAAGCGUUGUCCGGAAUUACUGGGUGUAAAGGGGGCGCAGGCGGGAGAGCAAGUCAGCUGUGAAAUCCAUGGGCUUAACCCAUGAACUGCAGUUGAAACUGUUUUUUCUUGAGUGAAGUAGAGGUUGGCGGAAUUCCGAGUGUAGCGGUGAAAUGCGUAGAUAUUCGGAGGAACACCGGUGGCGAAGGCGGCCAACUGGGCUUUUACUGACGCUGAGG